rnacentral:rRNA from 1 species
UGGGGAAUAUUGCACAAUGGGCGCAAGCCUGAUGCAGCGACGUCGCGUGGAGGAUGAAGGUUUUCGGAUUGUAAACUCCUGUUAAACGGGAAGAAAGAGUCACUGUUAAUAGCAGUGGUUGAUGACGUUACCGUUAAAGAAAGCACCGGCUAACUUCGUGCCAGCAGCCGCGGUAAUACGAAGGGUGCGAGCGUUAUUCGGAAUAACUGGGCGUAAAGGGCGCGUAGGCGGUAUUCUAAGUCGACGGUUAAAGAUCAUAGCUUAACUGUGAAAAGGCCGGCGAUACUGGAGUGCUAGAGGAUAGCAGAGAGGAGUGGAAUUCUCGGAGUAGCGGUAAAAUGCGUAGAUCUCGAGAGGAACACCGAUGGCGAAGGCAGCUCCUUGGGCUAUAACUGACGCU